UACGGAGGGGGCUAGCGUUGUUCGGAAUUACUGGGCGUAGAGCGCACGUAGGCGGCUUUGUAAGUUAGAGGUGAAAGCCCGGGGCUCAACUCCGGAAUUGCCUUUAAGACUGCAUCGCUAGAAUUGUGGAGAGGUAAGUGGAAUUCCGAGUGUAGAGGUGAAAUUCGUAGAUAUUCGGAAGAACACCAGUGGCGAAGGCGACUUACUGGACACAUAUUGACGCUGAGGUGCGAAAAGCGUGGGGAGCAAACAGG
rnacentral:rRNA from 1 species